ACUGAUUUUCUUUAUUCAUUUUAGCCACAGAUCCCUUUGCUUCUGUUUUUGGAAGUGAAUCAUUUGAAGAUGGAUUUGCUGACUUCAGCACAUUGUCAAAGGUCAACAACGAAGAUCCUUUUAGUUCAGCCACAUCGAGCUCUGUCAACAAUGUGGUCAUUAAAAACAAUGUGCUUGAGGAAACAUCAGUCAAAAGUGAAGAUGUACCCCCAGCACUGCCACCAAAGAUUGGAACUCCAACAAGACCCUGCCCACCACCACCUGGGAAAAGACCCAUCAACAAAUUGGAUUCUUCUGAUCCUUUUAAACUGAAUGAUCCAUUUCAGCCUUUCCCAGACAAUGAUAGCCCCAAAGAAAAAGAUCCUGAUAUGUUUUGCGAUUCAUUCACUUCUACUACUACUACCACUACCAAUAAAGAGGCUGACCCAAGCAAUUUUGCUAACUUCAGUGCUGUAAGUACUGUGAAUGGGC